rnacentral:RNase_P_RNA from 1 species
GCAGGGCGGGUGAUCGCGGGCGCCGGCGCAUUGCGCAGGCGCGUGAGGAAAGUCCGGGCUUCGCAGGGCAGGAUGCCGGAUAACGUCCGGUGGAGGUGACUCCCAGGCCAGUGCAACAGAAAUAUACCGCCCGCGGGAUUCGUCCCGCAGGUAAGGGUGAAAAGGCAGUGUAAGAGACUACCGUCUUCGUGGUAACACGAAGAGCCAUGUAAACCCCAUCCGAAGCAAGACCGAAACGAGGACAAUGGGCUUGCCCGGCCCGUUCUCAGGUGGGUCGCUGGAGGCUGCCGGCAACGGCAGUCCUAGAUAGAUGAUCAUCCAAGACAGAACCCGGCUUACAGCUCUGCUUAU